rnacentral:rRNA from 1 species
AUGAACGCUAGCUACAGGCUUAACACAUGCAAGUCGAGGGGCAGCAUUUCAGUUUGCUUGCAAACUGGAGAUGGCGACCGGCGCACGGGUGAGUAACACGUAUCCAACCUGCCGAUAACUCGGGGAUAGCCUUUCGAAAGAAAGAUUAAUACCCGAUGGUAUAAUCAGACCGCAUGGUCUUGUUAUUAAAGAAUUUCGGUUAUCGAUGGGGAUGCGUUCCAUUAGGCAGUUGGUGAGGUAACGGCUCACCAAACCUUCGAUGGAUAGGGGUUCUGAGAGGAAGGUCCCCCACAUUGGAACUGAGACACGGUCCAAACUCCUACGGGAGGCAGCAGUGAGGAAUAUUGGUCAAUGGGCACAGGCCUGAACCAGCCAAGUAGCGUGAAGGAUGACUGCCCUAUGGGUUGUAAACUUCUUUUAUAUGGGAAUAAAGUUUUCCACGUGUGGAAUUUUGUAUGUACCAUAUGAAUAAGGAUCGGCUAACUCCGUGCCAGCAGCCGCGGUAAUACGGAGGAUCCGAGCGUUAUCCGGAUUUAUUGGGUUUAAAGGGAGCGUAGGUGGACAGUUAAGUCAGUUGUGAAAGUUUGCGGCUCAACCGUAAAAUUGCAGUUGAUACUGGCUGUCUUGAGUACAGUAGAGGUGGGCGGAAUUCGUGGUGUAGCGGUGAAAUGCUUAGAUAUCACGAAGAACUCCGAUUGCGAAGGCAGCUCACUGGACUGCAACUGACACUGAUGCUCGAAAGUGUGGGUAUCAAACAGGAUUAGAUACCCUGGUAGUCCACACAGUAAACGAUGAAUACUCGCUGUUUGCGAUAUACAGUAAGCGGCCAAGCGAAAGCAUUAAGUAUUCCACCUGGGGAGUACGCCGGCAACGGUGAAACUCAAAGGAAUUGACGGGGGCCCGCACAAGCGGAGGAACAUGUGGUUUAAUUCGAUGAUACGCGAGGAACCUUACCCGGGCUUAAAUUGCAGUGGAAUGAUGUGGAAACAUGUCAGUGAGCAAUCACCGCUGUGAAGGUGCUGCAUGGUUGUCGUCAGCUCGUGCCGUGAGGUGUCGGCUUAAGUGCCAUAACGAGCGCAACCCUUAUCUUUAGUUACUAACAGGUCAUGCUGAGGACUCUAGAGAGACUGCCGUCGUAAGAUGUGAGGAAGGUGGGGAUGACGUCAAAUCAGCACGGCCCUUACGUCCGGGGCUACACACGUGUUACAAUGGGGGGUACAGAAGGCAGCUACCUGGUGACAGGAUGCUAAUCCCAAAAGCCUCUCUCAGUUCGGAUCGAAGUCUGCAACCCGACUUCGUGAAGCUGGAUUCGCUAGUAAUCGCGCAUCAGCCAUGGCGCGGUGAAUACGUUCCCGGGCCUUGUACACACCGCCCGUCAAGCCAUGAAAGCCGGGGGUACCUGAAGUACGUAACCGCAAGGAGCGUCCUAGGGUAAAACUGGUAAUUGGGGCU